AUAAAUGUUUUAAAUUUUGUGGUUAAACUUAACCCAAAAAUUUGACACGUUAAUAGUACAUGUGACUUUCCACAGUGACAGUCAUAUUGAAUAUUUUGAAGUUCAGGGCCCUACUUAUACAUCAGUAUUUGUUUAAAAUAUAUGUCAACAACAAUUAAGAUAUUUUUUUAGGGUGGAAAUACAGUACCCUCCCUUCCCCCCAAUACACAUUAUUGAAAAUGUGUUGGUGUUGCUAGGAUUAAAGAAGAAACUUGAAGCUAUAGUCAUUACUAAAACUGAGUCAAUUGUCAACUUGUUUGAAGUAAAUAUUCAAGCUGCAAGUACCAUGUAGAAUACUGUGAAACCCUUCCUGUAGAGGUGAUCCUUGGCACCAGUAGUGUGGAAGAGGAGCGAGAGGCACACCAACACCAGCAGAUGAGUCUCCGUUUAAUACUUGGGAUAUUAUAACAGUAAGUUAUAGCUCCAGAAGUCAGUCACCAGCAGCAGAUGUCACACAGUUAUAAAAUGGGAAACUUGAAGAAUAAGCUCCAGAAGUCAGCAGCAGCAGCCACCGUCACACAGCCAUAAUGCGAGAAGCUUGAAGAAUAAUGUGGUAGUGGUUUGGAUACAUAUUUCACCUUCAGUUUAAAAUUGAAGUUUGUUUAUAUUGGCAGGUGGUAACUCAGAGCUCUUUGUUCCAGUUAUGGCUCCGAUAGUCUUCCAGCAGCAGCAAAUGUUACACAGUCCUAUAGAGGCAAACUUGAAGUAUAAAGUAAUAGUGUUUUGCAUACAAUGGCAAACUUGACCUUUUGCUUAAAAUGGAGGUACAUUUGCACUGAGUUUAAUGUUAUGACACGUGAAUGGAUUACCAGUGAUGUAUAUCAGCAAUCAUCAGAUUGCAAUCCAGUUAAGUACCUGUGAGGCAUGAGAUGUCAAAAAUACUUGUGGGUUAUUGGUAGCCUGUGUCAAGGCAUGUGGCACCUCAAAGUUUGUAAGUACAGUAGCAUUUUGUUUUCUGCUUUACUUAAAAAUUGGUAGCUGUAGCACCCAUUCUGACAUUCAAUUAUUUUGAAUUUCAAGUUUCUUAGAAUGAUACAGACAU